AGCUUGAAGCCAUUAUUAUUUUAAGUGUUUUCUGCCCAGUGCAUACUGUAAACGGCCGCGGUAUCCUGACCGUGCAAAGGUAGCAUAAUAAUUUGCCUUUUUAUUGGAGGCUAGUAUGAAUGAAUAAACGUAGAUAUAGCUGUUUCUUGUGGUAAUCUAAAAAUUAUUCUUCAGGUGAAGAAACCUGAAUUUUUUAAAAAGACAAGAAGACCCUAUCAAGCUUUAUAUUUUUAAUAAGGUUUAUAUAAGAAUAUUUGGUUGGGGCGACUAAUGGGGUUUACUAUACCCCCAUAAAAAUCAUGAGAUAUUUCUCUUUGCGAUUUAAUAAUUUAAUUUAAGAUAGCUACUGUAGGGAUAACAGGCUAAUAUUUUCUAAGAGUUCAAAUUAAAGAAAAUGUUUGGCACCUCGAUGUUGGCUUAGGGCCCCUACCCCCCGCAGAAGGGGGGUGAGGUAGUUUGUUCAACUAUUAAAUCCCU
rnacentral:rRNA from 1 species